AUUAUUAUAAGUAAAAUCUGCUCCAUGUUAUAUAAAUAGCCGCAGAAUUUUUACUGUGCUAAGGUAGCAUAAUCAUUUACCUUUUAAUUAAAGGUUUGUAUGAAUGAUUACCCAAUUAGAUUACUUUUUUAUAAAAUUUUAUUCAACUUAAACUAAAAAUAAAAAUGUUUUUAUAAAAAAAAAAGACGACAAGACCCUAAUGAACUUUACUAAUGUUUAGCUGGGGAAGCUAAUUAAAUACAAUUUUAAUUAAUAGUUUAAAUCAAUUUUCUAAUAAAAUUAAUUUAAAUAAGUUACCAUAGGGAUAACAGCGUAAUAUAAUUCUAAAGAUCAUAUUAAAAAUUAAGUUUACGACCUCGAUGUUGAAUUAGAAUCUCUACAGACCGCAACAGGUUAAAAGAAGGCCUGU
rnacentral:rRNA from 1 species